UACGUAGGGGGCAAGCGUUGUCCGGAUUUAUUGGGCGUAAAGAGCGUGUAGGCGGCCAGGUAGGUCCGUUGUGAAAACUGGAGGCUUAACCUCCAGCUGUCGAUGGAAACCAUCUGGCUAGAGUCCGGAAGAGGAGAGCGGAAUUCCUGGUGUAGCGGUGAAAUGCGCAGAUAUCAGGAAGAACACCCGUGGCGAAGGCGGCUCUCUGGGACGGUACUGACGCUGAGACGCGAAAGCGUGGGGAGCGAACAGG
rnacentral:rRNA from 1 species